rnacentral:tRNA from 1 species
AAAGAUUUAGUUAAAUUCUAUAACAUUAGCAUGUCAUACUAAAAUUAUUUUUAUGAAUAAUCUUUU